GGGCUGCAGUGGGGAAUUUUGGACAAUGGGGGCAACCCUGAUCCAGCCAUUCCGCGUGAGUGAAGAAGGCCUUCGGGUUGUAAAGCUCUUUCAGCUGGAAAGAAACGGUACGCACUAACAUUGUGUGCUAAUGACGGUACCAGCAGAAGAAGCACCGGCUAACUACGUGCCAGCAGCCGCGGUAAUACGUAGGGUGCGAGCGUUAAUCGGAAUUACUGGGCGUAAAGCGUGCGCAGGCGGAUUGUUAAGCAAGAUGUGAAAUCCCCGGGCUUAACCUGGGAAUGGCAUUUUGAACUGGCAGUCUAGAGUGUGUCAGAGGGGGGUGGAAUUCCACGUGUAGCAGUGAAAUGCGUAGAUAUGUGGAGGAACACCAAUGGCGAAGGCAGCCCCCUGGGAUAACACUGACGCUCAUGUACGAAAGCGUGGGUAGCAAACAGGAUUAGAUACCCUGGUAGUC
rnacentral:rRNA from 1 species